GGUUCAACUGAACACCUCUGUGCAGAAUUUGUUGUUAGAGAUGCAGUGAUGUUUCAUGUGGCAAUGAUUCUGCAGCUGGUGGUGAUGUAGGUGGUGGUGGAGUAGGUGGUGAUGAAGCAGGUGGUGGUGGAGAAGGGCGUGAUGAGGUACUCGGUGUAGGGAGUAGCGAAUCAGCUGGUGGUGGAGCAGGUGGUGGUGGUGAUGAGCGGCGGGUGAGCGUGGCAGGAUCACGACUCGCUUCAUAAGCUCCGAAACUGCUCCCUUCCUGGUCUUGGCCGCUCCAUCUUGUUCAAUAAGCCUUCUUCAUGUUGAUGGCUCUCUUACUACUCAACUUGCAUUUGUACGUCAUUUCUAAAGACCUUUAUUUGGCUGGAGUACAAACGAACAGGUUGCGUGCCCUUCCCCGUUGUCGUCAGGGUAGGGACUGGCUUCACCACACUCCUCUCCUCAACUCACACCCUCCCUGCGAUCCGGCACGAGAGGAAUGACAGAUGACAAAAUUUACGGAGAAAAAAAAAAUUCUAAUGCAAAAUUUACGUACAUACAAGCACUGAAUGAUACAGCGUGUGUUGGCGCGCGAGUCAGGCUGUGACGCAAUAGCGCAGGCCAUUUAAAUAUGGCUUCCAGGGGUGAGGGGCUUUAAUUUUACAAAAACAAACCUCACCACAUGGCAAUUUUGGCUAUCCCGGCCAUGCUGAGCGAAAAAAUGUAUUUGUCCGAUUUUAAAUAUAUUCGUAAAAAAAUACCUUUAGUCGCCCCCCUUAAGAGUUGCUGGAAGGCUGAUCAUACAUACAGUACCACUACCACCAUCCCCGCUGUUUCUAGAACAAUAUUCUGUACGAGUUGUAUUUAUAUGUACAGAGUGUCGUUUUAGAAACUGCGAGGAUGGUAGUACAUACUGUAUGUCUGAUUCAGCCUUCCAGCAACUACUCUUAAUGUGUUAAAAAGCUUUGUGAGACUGUACAGGGCUACGCUUACUGGUCUGAACAUGCUUAGUUCACGAGAGACCAGUGUUUGUAAACGUUUUUUUUCAAACAGGCGGAAAAAAGUAGCAAUUAUCGCUAGUUUGGUUACAAAAGUAACGAAGAUACUGAUGUAUAUUUAAAUAAGUAGCGGAUGGCCGAUAACCCGAUUUUGUUAUCAGUGAUAACUUAUCGCGAUAAUGCCCAGCUAUGCGCCUCUCAUUCGUGACGUUCAUGUGACAUGUAACUAUGACAUAGUAGUUAUCAUCUCAAUCGGCAGUUCUCUCUCUCUCUCUCUCUCUCUCUCUCUCUCUCUCUCACACACACACAGUAACAAUAGUUCUGCCACUGCAUUAUGUUAUAUACUUACAGCAUGUUGUACCAAAGACAGUAUUUUCCAUGCAAAGGAUACGUAAUUUCCUGCGAGUAAAACUUUUUCGCAAAUAUAUAAUAAUUUCAAAUGAGCAUCAUCCCUAUGUGUAGGGCUGAACUAGUGUGUGUGUGUGUGUGUGUGUGUGUGUGUGUGUGUGUGAGAGAGAGAGAGAGAGAGAGAGAGAGAGAGAGAGAGAGAGAGAGAGAGAGAGAGAGAGAGAGAGAGAGAGA